UAAAUACCCGAGUAGUCCUAGCUGUAAACGCUGCGAGCAAGGUGUUGCAUAUUCUUCGUGGAUAUGCAGUGUCGAAACGAAGGUGUUAAGCUCGCCGCCUGGGAAGUAUAGUCGCAAGGCCGAAACUUAAAGGAAUUGGCGGGGGAGCACCACAAGGGGUGCGGCGUGCGGUUUAAUCCAAUUCAACGCGGAAAAUCUUACCAAGGGCGACGGCAGGAUGAAAGUCAGGUUAAAGACUUUACUUGACGAGCCGAGAGGUAGUGCAUGGCCGCCGUCAGCUCGUGCCGUAAGGUGUCCUGUUAAGUCAGGCAACGAGCGAGACCUGUGCGUACAAUUGCUAACGACUCUUUCAGAGGAUCGAGCACAUUGUGCGAACUGCCCGUGAAAAUGGGAGGAAGGUGCAGGCUACGGUAGGUCUGUAUGCUCCGAAUCCUUUGGGCUACACGCGCGCAACAAUGGUAUGGACAAUGGGAUGCAACUCCGAAAGGAGAAGCUAAACCUCUAAACCAUAUCCUAGUCCAGAUUGAGGGCUGUAACUUGCCCUCAU
rnacentral:rRNA from 1 species